AAUGGACCUUUCCCCUUAUAACUAAAAUUUCGAUCUAGACAAAAAUUUCAUCACAGCUUGAAAGAGCAUCAUAAAAUUAGUAAUAUUGCAAAGUUUUGUUGCAAAAUCUUGCAAAAUGCGGAUAAUAUAGCCUUGCGAAGUUUGCCGUUUUUCAGUCAUUUUGAAGGCAAACGGGAAAUUGACAUCCGAUUCGGGUGUUGGGGCUGCAAUUUCUCGUUUGUAAUGCAAAAUGACUGAAAAUUGCAAACUUCGCAAGGCUCUAUUUUCCUCAUUUUAC